UCCCCCACCUCAUCCACCUCUGACUGUGGAGAGGGGAAGAAGAGAUGUGGGGCUAACAGUUUCCAAGGGCCACAGUUCUUUGCUCUCCCCUCCUUUUUUUCCACACAUCUGUUUCCUGAGCCAGCUCACAAAAGCUUCCCUAAGUCAGAACUUGCCUGCUCUCUUCUUCCACAGGACCUACCAAAGAGUGAACAUUUCAGGACCCGGAGUCCCCUGCUAUCCAGCUAAUCAGGUUAUCCAAAAAAGUGGUGCUCGGAAAAGCAUAAGGGGUUUGCUGAGAAGGAAGAACCAGAAGAUCUUGGGCAAGAUAAAGACAGCCAGUGAGACAUGGACUGGAUAGCUGUUUGCCGUUUUGCUGUUUGCCUCCUUGUCACGACCUCAGAGAGGGCAGAUGGAGCCAGUGGAGGGAGAGAGACAGACGGCAAUGCUUGGGUAGCCAGGGCUCCCUGCCGGCCCCACUCCUCCUGCAGACACGAGCACACACACACACACGCAAAACACACACGCUGUAGCCAAAUAAAAUACACAAAAAGCAACUGAGUUACCAUUCGCACAUGACCACAUGGAAACACACAAAUGAACAAACGCAUUCAGGCAUAGCUACAUGCCACACAGAUGGAUAGACAAGAGCCUGGGGUACAAAACCACUUGGCACAAAGCCACCUGGAUUUACAUACCCCUACACACACAACACAGAAAAAAACAUGCAAACUUGAGUGCACACCUAUCCAGACAAGUGUGAGUGCACACACACACACACACACUCUACCUGACACGUUAGUGCAUCCCCAGUCGGCCCCAGUUUCUCAGCAAAUUCAGAUCACCCAGCCUG